rnacentral:rRNA from 1 species
CCUACGGGAGGCAGCAGUGGGGAAUUUUGGACAAUGGGCGCAAGCCUGAUCCAGCAAUGCCGCGUGAGUGAAGAAGGCCUUCGGGUUGUAAAGCUCUUUUGUCAGGGAAGAAACGGUGGGGGCUAAUAUCCUCCACUAAUGACGGUACCUGAAGAAUAAGCACCGGCUAACUACGUGCCAGCAGCCGCGGUAAUACGUAGGGUGCAAGCGUUAAUCGGAAUUACUGGGCGUAAAGCGUGCGCAGGCGGUUUUGUAAGUCUGUCGUGAAAGCCCCGGGCUCAACCUGGGAAUUGCGAUGGAGACUGCAAGGCUUGAAUCUGGCAGAGGGGGGUAGAAUUCCACGUGUAGCAGUGAAAUGCGUAGAGAUGUGGAGGAACACCGAUGGCGAAGGCAGCCCCCUGGGUCAAGAUUGACGCUCAUGCACGAAAGCGUGGGGAGCAAACAGGAUUAGAUACCCUGGUAGUCCACGCCCUAAACGAUGUCUACUAGUUGUCGGGUUUUAAUUAACUUGGUAACCGNAGCUAACGCGUGAAGUAGACCGCCGUGGGGAGUACCGGUCGACGAAGUAAUUAAAACGUUAAAGUGAAAGUUGACCGGCGUGAGACGUAGCGACGGACGACGACGAGGGAGGAGG